rnacentral:rRNA from 1 species
UACGUAGGGUGCAAGCGUUAAUCGGAAUUACUGGGCGUAAAGCGUGCGCAGGCGGCUUUGCAAGUCAGAUGUGAAAUCCCCGGGCUCAACCUGGGAACUGCAUUUGUGACUGCAUCGCUGGAGUACGGCAGAGGGGGAUGGAAUUCCGCGUGUAGCAGUGAAAUGCGUAGAUAUGCGGAGGAACACCGAUGGCGAAGGCAAUCCCCUGGGCCUGUACUGACGCUCAUGCACGAAAGCGUGGGGAGCAAACAGG